GAUGAAGAACGUAGCAAAAUGCGAUAAGUAAUGUGAAUUGCAGAAUUCAGUGAAUCAUCGAAUCUUUGAACGCACAUUGCGCCCGCCAGCAUUCUGGCGGGCAUGCCUGUUCGAGCGUCAUUUCAACCCUCGACUUCCCUUUGGGGAAAUCGGCGUUGGGGACCGGCUGUAUACCGCCGGCCCCGAAAUGAAGUGGCGGCCCGUCCGCGGCGACCUCUGCGUAGUAAUCCAACUCGCACCGGAACCCCGACGUGGCCACGCCGUAAAACCCCCGACUUCUGAACGUUGACCUCGGAUCAGGUAGGAAUACCCGCUGAACUUAAGCAUAUCAAUAAGCGGAGGA
rnacentral:misc_RNA from 1 species